GAUGAACGCUGGCGGCGUGCCUAACACAUGCAAGUCGAACGGAAAGGCCCUGCUUGCAUGCUAUUCGAGUGGCCAACGGGCGAGUAACAGGUGGGUGCAUCGCCCUCUACUUCUGGAUAAGGUUGGGCAACUGGGUCCAUUCCCUGAUAGCACCUACCUCCUGCGUGUGGGUGGGAAGGUUCUUUGGGUGUAGGAUGAGCUCGGGGCCUAUCAGCUUGUUGGCGGGGUAACGGCCUACCAAGGCGGCGACGGGUGGCCGGCCUGAGAGGGUGUACGGCCAGAUUAGGACUGGAAUAGGGGCCAGACUCGGACGGGAGGGAGCAGUGGGGAAUAGUGCACAAUGGGCGCAAGCCUGGUGCAACGACGCCGCGUGGGUGAUGAAGGCCUUCGGGUUGUAAACACCUUUCGCUGGGGACGAAGCUUUGUUGUGACGGUACCUAGAUAAGAAGCACCGGCUAACUACGUG
rnacentral:rRNA from 1 species